GGCCCCCGGCGCCCCCGCGGCGGCCCCGCCGGCUCAUCCGGGCGAGCGUCGGCGGACACGCGCUGGAAGAUUGCUAUUUUUAACAUUUCCAUAUUGUUUACCGUGGGGAAAAAUCCCACAAUUCCUUGCACAAAAAUGCAUAAAUAAUAUUAAAUGAGCUGCCGACAUACAAAGGGACUUUUGUAGUCUCCUUUCCUGCUGGCGGAGGGGGAACUGUCACUUACACUUGACUUUGGUAACCUGGCAGAUUCCUGACUUAACCGCAGAGCUGGCGCGCAGGACCCUCCUCCCGUAGACACUCCCUAGCAGCCUGUGCAGCGUCACAUUUGAGGGUCAGACAGACUGUUCCAUGACCUAAUGCCUCUACUGUAAAGAAUGUGUCCCCUGAGAAUCGCAGCCACCAGAAGAAAGUGACACAUUCCAAGUAACCCAGAGGAAAAUGGGUAACACUGGUUUGGCAAAGGAAUUUGAAGAGCGGCACUCAUGGUUGGAGCUGUCUCAGCACAGCAAAACAAGAAGACAUGUAAAAGGAUAAUAGUGGAGGAAACCAGCCACCCUCUCCAACGUUCUGAUUGCUUACAAACAGGGGAAGAACUUCAAAUAUCUACCCAGUGUCUUCCUUUUGACCUUUGGAAGGAAAGCAAGAGCUUCGAAAGGAACUCCCACGACACCUGCUUCUCCUCAUGGAGCAUGAGGGUUUUCCCCAUCUCUUUCCCUAAAAGCCACAGAUACAAGUCCAGCAACUCCUCGUGCAAAGCAGCCAGGAGCAGCUCAGCCCUGAAAAAAACAGAAUGUACAACGAAGGGUGGACCGGUCGGGCGCCCCACUCCGGGGGCAGGCUCCGCAGCCAGCGAUCGGAAUGGAUUUAGGAUCGAGAAGAUCCGCAAAGGCGAGCGUCCACCGGGGCUGGAGACGGCCGAGUGCGGGCGUGCGGCCUUUCUUCCCCGGCGGGCGGAAACCUCCUUUCCACGGUGGCAACAACUCCUGGAAAACAGAAAAUCGCGCGAGCAGGAGAGCGGCGGCGCCUGCCUGCG